AGAGUUUGAUCAUGGCUCAGAUUGAACGCUGGCGGCAGGCCUAACACAUGCAAGUCGAACGGUAACAGGAAGCAGCUUGCUGCUUUGCUGACGAGUGGCGGACGGGUGAGUAAUGUCUGGGAAACUGCCUGAUGGAGGGGGAUAACUACUGGAAACGGUGGCUAAUACCGCAUAACGUCGCAAGACCAAAGAGGGGGACCUUCGGGCCUCUUGCCAUCAGAUGUGCCCAGAUGGGAUUAGCUGGUUGGUGAGGUAACGGCUCACCAAGGCGACGAUCCCUAGCUGGUCUGAGAGGAUGACCAGCCACACUGGAACUGAGACACGGUCCAGACUCCUACGGGAGGCAGCAGUGGGGAAUAUUGCACAAUGGGCGCAAGCCUGAUGCAGCCAUGCCGCGUGUAUGAAGAAGGCCUUCGGGUUGUAAAGUACUUUCAGCGGGGAGGAAGGUGUUGUGGUUAAUAACCGCAGCAAUUGACGUUACCCGCAGAAGAAGCACCGGCUAACUCCGUGCCAGCAGCCGCGGUAAUACGGAGGGUGCAAGCGUUAAUCGGAAUUACUGGGCGUAAAGCGCACGCAGGCGGUCUGUCAAGUCGGAUGUGAAAUCCCCGGGCUCAACCUGGGAACUGCAUUCGAAACUGGCAGGCUUGAGUCUUGUAGAGGGGGGUAGAAUUCCAGGUGUAGCGGUGAAAUGCGUAGAGAUCUGGAGGAAUACCGGUGGCGAAGGCGGCCCCCUGGACAAAGACUGACGCUCAGGUGCGAAAGCGUGGGGAGCAAACAGGAUUAGAUACCCUGGUAGUCCACGCCGUAAACGAUGUCUACUUGGAGGUUGUGCCCUUGAGGCGUGGCUUCCGGAGCUAACGCGUUAAGUAGACCGCCUGGGGAGUACGGCCGCAAGGUUAAAACUCAAAUGAAUUGACGGGGGCCCGCACAAGCGGUGGAGCAUGUGGUUUAAUUCGAUGCAACGCGAAGAACCUUACCUGGUCUUGACAUCCACGGAAGUUUUCAGAGAUGAGAAUGUGCCUUCGGGAACCGUGAGACAGGUGCUGCAUGGCUGUCGUCAGCUCGUGUUGUGAAAUGUUGGGUUAAGUCCCGCAACGAGCGCAACCCUUAUCCUUUGUUGCCAGCGAUUAGGUCGGGAACUCAAAGGAGACUGCCAGUGAUAAACUGGAGGAAGGUGGGGAUGACGUCAAGUCAUCAUGGCCCUUACGACCAGGGCUACACACGUGCUACAAUGGCGCAUACAAAGAGAAGCGACCUCGCGAGAGCAAGCGGACCUCAUAAAGUGCGUCGUAGUCCGGAUUGGAGUCUGCAACUCGACUCCAUGAAGUCGGAAUCGCUAGUAAUCGUGGAUCAGAAUGCCACGGUGAAUACGUUCCCGGGCCUUGUACACACCGCCCGUCACACCAUGGGAGUGGGUUGCAAAAGAAGUAGGUAGCUUAACCUUCGGGAGGGCGCUUACCACUUUGUGAUUCAUGACUGGGGUGAAGUCGUAACAAGGUAACCGUAGGGGAACCUGCGGUUG
rnacentral:rRNA from 1 species